UACGUAGGGUGCAAGCGUUAAUCGGAAUUACUGGGCGUAAAGCGUGCGCAGGCGGUUAUGUAAGACAGUUGUGAAAUCCCCGGGCUCAACCUGGGAACUGCAUCUGUGACUGCAUAGCUAGAGUACGGUAGAGGGGGAUGGAAUUCCGCGUGUAGCAGUGAAAUGCGUAGAUAUGCGGAGGAACACCGAUGGCGAAGGCAAUCCCCUGGACCUGUACUGACGCUAAGGCGCGAAAGCGUGGGGAGCGAACAGG
rnacentral:rRNA from 1 species